ACAGGUACAGCUCAGUGGUAGAGUGCAUGCUUACAUGCACAAGGUCCUGGGUUCAAUCCCCAGUACCUCCU
rnacentral:tRNA from 1 species